rnacentral:lncRNA from 1 species
CUCUGAACUGAACAGACUCGUUGGUGUAUCACUUUGCUUUUCAGCCUCUAUAUUAUUACAAAUUUCCAUAACUAUUAUUUACUGAGUUUCUACUAAGUUCUAGGGGCAGUGCUAGGUCCUAUAAACAUAAAGAUUCCAAAUACAGUUUAAGAUAUUUAAAUACAAAUGCUCUAGAAAUGCUAAGGCAUUUAGAUAUAAGUGCCCAUGAUAUAAUAUCAAGGAUUGACAUGAAGUUUACCACACAGUGAACCAGGCCUGGAGCUGAAGCAGCCCAGUCCCAUGCAUAGCUUCAUGUCUUUUACAGGUCUAGAACAGGCAUGGUUUCAUGGUCCACACUUCCUCACUCUCCAGUAAUCACAAUGGUUAUUUGUGCUAAACUGCAUUGUAGCAUAAUCCUUAAGGAAGUAGAUAACCUAUUAUCCUUUGUAUUAAAAAAAGUACAUAGAUCACACAAAAUUGGCUUAUAUCGAGGAUCUAGUCCCUUUCUUGUUUUCUAUAUUGCUCUCAAUUCCAUUAGAAGUAAUCAUACCUUUUGAAAUUGAGCCACUGUAACUCAAUUCAGUAAAGAUGAUGUAUAAGCUAGAAUGGGACUAGUCACAUUUACAAAUGGGGGAAAUAAAAUGGCAGCACAAAGGGUACAAAGUUUGGUAGGAAGUUAGGCCUGCCUUAAAUUCCUGGAUUUCCAACUUGUGAUGAGACCAAAUUCUUUAACAGCUUUAGCACCAGACUCUUUAAUGAAACUGAGCACACUCUUUCCAUACUCUCAGGGGUGGUGUAAAGACUAAAUGUAACAAUAAAAUGUAUGGCAUCCAACACACUAUAUGUACUCCAAAAGUUUUGGACAAUGCAAUAUCAGAGGCCUGAAAGCCACAUCCUUUAUAUCAAGACCUUUCUUGAACCAGCCCAAAAAUGUGCCCAUGGAAACAUCUUUUUGUGUAUUGAAGACCUUAUGGUUUGUUUACGUGCUUUAAUGGCAAAUAUCUCUGGGCAUGAUUAUAUUAAUUUUGCUGUCAAAAACUUGGGCUCUUUGCCCAUCCUUCAUCUUGUGUCCUGAAAAGAAGGGCUCUCAAAUGAAAAGAAGUGGAAGAGUAUCUGAAGAAAAGGAGAGGUGGAAAGAUGUCAGACAAAAGGCUUGCUAGCUCUACUGCAAGAAAUUUAGGGGUGGGUAGUAAAGGGGAAGGGCCCUCAUUUCAGGGAAUUCUCCUGAAUCCUCUGAGGCAUUACUGGAACAGAACCAAGAAAUAACCAACCAUAUACAUGACUAGUUUACAAAGAUGUUUAUAUAUAGUUCAUUGCUGAGCAAAAAGUUGUUUUUAAGUCAGCAGGAAAAAAGCUAAGCCCAAAUGAUUCAGGCAAACAGAACUUAUGUUCACAAAAAUAAUGACAUUUUCAAUGAACUGUUAACAGAAUUGAACUUGGGUAUUAUUUCUUGAACCAAUCUAUAGCAUCUAACACUUUCUUUAGAAGUUACAUUCACUUAGUAAAAUUUAAUUUCACUUGUGCUUUUUGUUUGUUUGGUUGUUUUUGCUAUGAUUGCUUUUAAUAGUGGCUAUUUAGGUCACAAAUGGCCCCUUGUGGAGUAUCAGUGUUUCUUUGGUGAUUCCAAUCCAGGAGAAUGGGACAAAAGAUUGCAGUGGUUUCUUGCCAGAAUACAACUGACCUAGUUAGUUAUGGCCAUGGUGAUGCUGUGUAACAAAUCACCCCAAAACUCGGUAGCUCAACAUGAUGGCAACUUGUGCCCAUGCACCUGUGCAGUGGGCCAGAAUGGCACUGCCACAUUCCACACAUCUUCAUGUCCAGUCCCUUCCAGGUGUGUGUCAUCCUCCUUGGACAGGUGAGCUGGUAGAGAUGUGUUCUUUUCAUGGUGAUGGCACAGAAGAUAUUCAUAGACACAGGAGUCCUGCAAAGACUAGAUUUGGAAAUGACACUUUUUUUUCUUUUGAGAUAGGGUCUUGGUAUGUAGUUCAGGCUGGCCUUGAGCUCACUGUUUAGCUCAGGCUGGCCUCUAACUCAUGACAGACCUCCUCCCUCAGCCUCCUGAGUGCUGGGAUUACAAGCAUGUACCACCAUGCCCAGUUCAACAUAUUUUUAUUCUUGUUUGCAUUCUUUUGGCCAAAACAAGUAAAACAGCAAAAUUUAAAUUCCAUAGACAGAGACUGUGUUCCAUCACCAAUGAAACAAGACAAAUGUGUGGACAUUAGGAGGGUGAAGAAUUGUGAUUUCUUGUUGCAGAAAAACAGAUACAAAUAAAUAAGAAAGUGCACUUCCAGCUAUUCUUUGUGUUGUAUCAAAGGCACUGGCUCCAAUAUAUAAAGGGUCAUUUUUGGUAGUUUUACAAGUAGGAAUUUUAAAACUAAUGGAAUACUAUGGGAAUACUAAUGGGAUCAUACGACCUCUAUGGCAAGGUUUUCUAAUAGUGAUUAGUAACAUUAUUGAUGUAUAAAUCCCGCUAGAGAAAAUAUAAGAUAAAAUAAAUUAAAAAAUAGCAGUGACUUGGAGUAGGGAUUUUUUUUUUACUAUUUUUGCUAUUGUUGCAGAUGCACACCUAUAUAUGUACUGAGAUAGGAUACAACAUGUUUUUCUCUAUAUAUGCUAUGGUUUAAAAGAAGUUUGAAAUCUAUUGCUUUAAAGUAGUUUUUAAAAACAUUUUUUUCUUCGCAGUAUUGGAGAUUAAACCUAGACCCUCAAGCAUAGUAGGCAAUUACUCUACUAAAAUUUUUCAUUUUUAUUGAUACGUGGUAAUUGCACAUAUUUGUAGUAAAAUAUUAUCUAAUUUAUAAAAUGUUAUUAGGUUUAGGUGCAUUCUGAUUUUUUAAAACAUUCAUUUUGCCGGGCGUGGUGGCACAUACAUAUAAUCCCAGCACGUGGGAGGCUGGGCCAGGAGGAUUGCAGCAAACUUGAGACCAGCCUGGAUGACGUAGUGAGUUCCAAGGCCAGCCUGAACUACAUAGACCUUGUCUCAAAAAAUAAAAAUGUUCAUUUGGUGGGUGCAUGCCAUCUCCUUUGAAAGUGAAUUGCUUUUUAAGUGCUCCUUAUUUCCUUUGUAUGGAUGUGUAGUAGAGGAGCAUUUUCUUUAAAAUCAAUCAAUGAUAACAUCAGGUUUAAUGGACAUGUGUUUUCAUUUAUACACCAGUAACACUCAUGGCUGUAAUGAUGGGUGAACCACGCUUGGAUUUAUUUUGACAAUAACGGUAAUAUUUACUUUCUCUAUUUAGUUUGCUCAUGGCUAGUUUCCAGAUGAUGGUUUAGAAUAAAAGCACCUCCUGGUUAUAUUUUUUGAAAACGUACUGUUAGAUUACUUCAGAAACAUUUAUUAUCAGGUUAUCUUUUUCAGAUUUUAAUGCUUGUGUUACUCUGUUUACGUUAACCAUGGCCCGUUGGAGCUGCGGUGGGCCCUCGCCAGGAGCAGAUGUGCAGGAGACAGAUGCAGACGGCCUGGGCCACAGGCGGUGUCUCGGAUGUGGCUCUCCCCCGCGGCUGUGCCUGCUGUCUCUCCGGGAAGGGUACACAGCCAAGAAUAAACUCCUUAGUUUGGCCUCACCUUGCACAGGUCCUUGCCUUUGUGAUAAUGGAAAUCAAAAUGAAGACAAGAGCAACAAUGGGGAAGGAAAGCUGAAGUGAGCACAGCUCUGAUGGACAUGACCAGGCUGGCCUGUUAACAAGGAAAGUGGCCAGUUUUAUGGUGUCGAGAGGUGAGACAGGGCGGGCUUGGUCAUGGUCUCAGUGCUGGUCUUGAAAUCUCUGGAAAGUCCUUGUAGCUUGAGGGACAGUUCAGUUUCCAUGAAAUGAUCGCUCUUGCUGAGAGGGGCGGUCUCAGUUCCUAGGAGGCUCUGCUGGAAUCCAAGGUGACUGCAGGAUCAGGACAGUGCCUGGUGUCUGCUAGGUGCCCAUGUCUGGGGUGAGAGCAGACAUUGAAUGUCCUGCGAAUCUCUUAUCUGGUGUCCUCAGUCUUGAGGGAGA